rnacentral:rRNA from 1 species
ACGUAGGGGGCGAGCGUUGUCCGGAAUCACUGGGCGUAAAGGGUCCGUAGGCGGCCCGAUAAGUCUCACGUCAAAGCCCCAGGCUCAACUUGGGAUCGGCGCGGGAUACUGUCGGGCUUGAGGAUGGCAGAGGUGAGCGGAACGUUGCAAGUAGCGGUGAAAUGCAUUGAUAUGCAACGGAACACCAAUGGCGAAGGCAGCUCGCUGGGCCAUUCCUGACGCUGAGGGACGAAAGCCAGGGUAGCGAACGG